rnacentral:lncRNA from 1 species
UCACCUUGCUUUGCUUACUUGGACGACGCACCUCCUCUCUUCUCUUCUUCAAUAUCUCUACUGAGUGUAUAUAUAUAUGAUCUUGUGACUCAGCGGUGGGUCUCAUCGCCCACCAUGCAUUUUGCCCAUCAUCAAUAUCUUCAUCCAUUCAUUGCCCUCCCUCUCUGUUUUUCAACUGAGAUUCUUUAAUACAGGUUCGGAGGACAAUCAGCACACCCCAUUCCAUUACUGUUUUUAUU